rnacentral:lncRNA from 1 species
AUAUCUCUCCUAUAAGCAUGUAAGUUACUCAUCUUUUAUCUAAAUUAUGUUCCUGCUAGAUAUUACCCCUGUCUAUUUUAAAAUUUUUGUUAUCAUGUAUAGUUGUAUAUUUCAUGUUCAUAUGAUCGAUUAUUAGAUAUCACUCUAAGUAUAUGGUUAGCUUCCCAAUUUCUUAAUAAUUAUGAUGGAUUAACCUGUAAAUUCCUAGGAGAAACUGGUUAAGUAAAACCCGAAAACAAUUAAGAAGGGUAUAAGUGUUUAACCAGGGCCGGGGUGAGGUUAAAGAAAUAAGAGUUAAGAAAAGAGUUAAAAUCUUUAAAAGAUUGGGAAGAAGAGAUGAACAGAGUGGAUUAAAAAAAGAGUAGUAAAGGGGUAAUUUCAGCUCAUAAUUUAGAUAAUAUGGUAACUAUACAAGUUUAUAGAAUAAAAGAGAGAGAGUACCGAGUAGGAUUUUCACAAUAUAAAGUUUCAAUCGCAAAAAAUAAUUUUAUUGUUAAUGUCCAAUAAUCGUAAUAACUAUACAAAUCCAGAAAGCUUUGCUAGGAGUCUUACUCAAAGUUUGGAAGAAUUUAUAAUAGACGUAGAAAACGGGUUUUAUUCAAUAGUAAAUUUGGAAUAAUAAUUGCACCAUCAUAGUCUUUAAGCAUGGGUUCACGCACAUAUAUUUAAGUAAUUUUAAAAAAAUAUAACAUUGUUAUACGUGGUUUAGGGGGAGAAGUAUGGGUUCACUUGAACUCAUAUCUCACAACUUGGAUAGGGACAAAUAGGACACUCUGAUAUCAUUUUUGAUUUUUUGACCCAGCUUGAUUUAUUGGUGGAAAUUCAAAUUUAAUAAGUAUUGCAGUUCACUUUUUCUAUGGGUAACACUUUGGACUUUUGACACUAAGAUUUUCCCAUGGAACAAGCAGAAGUCACAAAAUCAAAAUUAUGGCCAUUUUCAAGGUCCUUGGGAGUAAUUUCCUGUUUGUUUGUAGGGUAUUAGCUGCGACAACACAUGUCAGCUGGUGGGUCAGUACUGUUCGUCCUUUGCCCGCUAAAACCGCGGCGGAGCACCACGCUAGUACCAGCAGUCCAGCCUACUCUUUUGUGUGUGAAAGCACCUGAAAUACCAUGGGUUCUCUCUUAGCUCUUUCUGUUUUGCCUUUGUUGCCUUGUCUACCUAAUACCAAAACAUCUUCCUUCUUUUUUUCUUUUUUCGAAUUAUGAAGAAUCAGCCAUCAAUUUUCUUACUGUUAUGUUGUUAUUUGUGGGGCUAAAAAAGAUUUGGACCUGAAGUUCAUUCUGAAUUUUGCGUUUGGCUGAUAUGAGCGGUACUUCGUUGUAUUUAGUUAAGUGAUCAUUUUGAUUAAAAUGUGAAGUCUUUAUUCUGUCCUUUAUAUUAUUAAUAGUUAUAAACGGCUAAUAAUUUAGAGACGAACAAGUUUUUCGAAGAUUUUUUUUUUUCGGUUGAAUAGAAAAAUAGGAAUCAAGUUUUGGGCAAAAAGAUUGUUUUGGUGCCAAAUAAUUGAAAAUAAGAAAAGGGGAAAAUUAAGACAAGGUCUCUUUUCGUUUGCGUUUCUGGCUUGUUAAUUUGGAAAUUGAACUAGAUUGUGCUAUCGGCU